rnacentral:tRNA from 1 species
GGGGCCGUCGUCUAGCUUGGACAAGGAUGCCAGUCCCGCGCUGGUGCUCCUGGGUUCAAAUCCCAGCGGCCCCACCA